rnacentral:rRNA from 1 species
AGUGAACGCUGGCGGUAGGCCUAACACAUGCAAGUCGAACGGCAGCACAGUAAGAGCUUGCUCUUACGGGUGGCGAGUGGCGGACGGGUGAGGAAUACAUCGGAAUCUACUUUUUCGUGGGGGAUAACGUAGGGAAACUUACGCUAAUACCGCAUACGACCUACGGGUGAAAGCAGGGGAUCUUCGGACCUUGCGCGAUUGAAUGAGCCGAUGUCGGAUUAGCUAGUUGGCGGGGUAAAGGCCCACCAAGGCGACGAUCCGUAGCUGGUCUGAGAGGAUGAGCAGCCACACUGGAACUGAGACACGGUCCAGACUCCUACGGUAGGCAGCGGUGGGGAGUAUUGGACAAUGGGCGCAAGCCUAGUCCAGCCAUACCGCGUGGGUGAAGAAGGCCUUCGGGUUGUAAAGCCCUUUUGUUGGGAAAGAAAAGCAGCAUGUUAAUACCCCGCUGUUCUGACGGUACCCAAAGAAUAAGCACCGGCUAACUUCGUG